AGCGAACGCUGGCGGCAGGCUUAACACAUGCAAGUCGAGCGGGCGUAGCAAUACGUCAGCGGCAGACGGGUGAGUAACGCGUGGGAACGUACCUUUGGUUCGGAACAACCCAGGGAAACUUGGGCUAAUACCGGAUAAGCCCUUACGGGGAAAGGAUUAUCGCCGAAGAUCGGCCGCGUCUGAUUAGCUAGUUGGUGAGGUAACGGCUCACCAAGGCGACGAUCAGUAGCUGGUCUGAGAGGAUGAUCAGCCACAUUGGGACUGAGACACGGCCCAAACUCCUACGGGAGGCAGCAGUGGGGAAUAUUGGACAAUGGGCGAAAGCCUGAUCCAGCCAUGCCGCGUGGGGAG
rnacentral:rRNA from 1 species